rnacentral:other from 1 species
AGAUGCCCAGAAGGACUAAUAUUUUUCCGACACAUUGAUAUAAGGGAAUCCGGAUGUAGGUUAGUGGCGUGAAGGCUAGAUUUAUCUAGAAUCCCAAGCUGAUCGACAGGAUACCCACCUGGAUAAAACAGGGGACAAUAUCAACCUUUUGGGUAUUUU